rnacentral:rRNA from 1 species
UACGUAGGGGGCAAGCGUUGUCCGGAAUUAUUGGGCGUAAAGAGCGCGUAGGCGGUCCGGUAAGUCCGCUGUGAAAGUCGAGGGCUCAACCCUCGAAUGCCGGUGGAUACUGUCGGGCUUGAGUACGGGAGAGGCGAGUGGAAUUCCUGGUGUAGCGGUGAAAAUGCGCAGAUAUCAGGAGGAACACCGAUUGCGAAGGCAGCUCGCUGGAACGUUACUGACGCUGAGACGCGAAAGCGUGGGGAGCGAACAGG